GUCGCCGCCGCCGCCGCCGGGUCCCGAAGCGCAGCCCCGGCUGAAGAGCGCGUCGGCCGGCUGCCCAGGAGCGCCGCGCAGGGAAGAGCGGAGCCGCGGAGUCGGCAGGCGGGCGGGCGCGCGGACAGACUAGCGUGCCAUGGCAGACCAGAGACAGCGUUCACUCUCUACCUCUGGGGAGUCCCUGUACCAUGUACUGGGGCUGGACAAGAACGCAACCUCAGAUGACAUUAAGAAGUCCUACCGGAAGCUGGCCUUGAAAUACCACCCUGACAAGAACCCUGAUAACCCGGAGGCUGCGGACAAGUUUAAGGAGAUCAACAACGCCCACGCCAUCUUGACGGACGCCACGAAAAGAAACAUCUACGACAAGUACGGCUCACUGGGGCUCUACGUGGCCGAGCAGUUCGGGGAGGAGAACGUGAACACCUACUUUGUGCUCUCCAGCUGGUGGGCCAAGGCCCUGUUCAUCUUCUGCGGGCUCCUCACCUGCUGCUACUGCUGCUGCUGCCUCUGCUGCUGCUUCAACUGCUGCUGUGGCAAGUGCAAGCCCAAGGCGCCAGAGGGGGAAGAGACCGAGUUCUAUGUGUCCCCCGAGGACCUGGAGGCGCAGCUGCAGUCCGACGAGAGGGGAGGGCACUGACACUGUGCGGGAGUGUUUGUGGUGGCAGCGGGACGGUUGAGGUGUGAACGUGGACGCUGGAGAGGCCGCAGACACGCCAAUCGUCAUCCAGCCGGCGUCUGCCACGGAGACCACCCAGCUCACGGCUGACUCCCACCCCAGCUACCACACCGACGGGUUCAACUAAGUCCAGGAUCGGUCAGCACCCAGCCACUCAACCUUAGAAUCAUGAACUGUAGUCACAGAGAUGGCGUGGGAGCCGCCCUGGCCCCAGGAGGGCCCCGCCGACCCGCCUCUGUGCCCGCCCAUCCACCCCCGACACAUGAAGUGCGUAGCAUGCAGUAUUUAAAGCAGUUUAGCUACGGUCUUCUUCAUCUUCUGUUGUUUCCUUUUUUAAUAGCAUGUAUGGGUUAUGUCCAUGUCUGUCUGUGUUGUGGGCGUGUUGCAGCCAGACUGUAUUCACCGGACUUGGGGCUGCUUCAGGACUCUCAGGCAGGUUGGCGUGGCGGGUGGGUGGCCCUUACGGUCCCUCACCGCCAGGUGGGCUCAGGCGGGAUGGGCACUCUGUUUCCUGUUUCAUGGGGGCCUGAGGCAGUUGCUGCCUGAUGGAAGCUGUGGGGUCUGCUCCCUGCCCUGUCUGCCUAUCUUGCGGCCACAGGCAGGGCCUCUGGACUCACUUGACAGGAAGGAGCUGGGCCUGGCUCCCGGUCCCAGGGUGUUGCCCUGGGGUACUCAUGCUCACCUCAUCUGCUUCGCCUCAUGGCAGGUAUUCCCGUAUCUGACCUGAGGCCCCUGUGCUCGAGUGUGCUCCCUCCCCGGCUGGGUCGUCCCUGCAGCCUCCAUGCUCCCCUUCCCUGCACUGCCCUCCACAUUCCUUCAGGCCCACCUGGCCUCUUUGUAAUCCUUUCUUGGACCUCCAAGAACCACAGAUGGUAUCAGCGGCCCAAUUAGUGGUGGUCAGAGGGGCUGAAUCCAGGCUGCCGGUGGCAAGUGGGCUGCAUACCCCUCCUGCUUCCCACCUCCAACCCACUUUCCUCCACCUGCUCCCUUUGGCCAUUGUGAAUGGUUUGGGCAGUUAGAGACGUCGAGCUCAUGGAGGAAGGACCAGCUGGACCAAAGGCACACUCCGGGCAGAGGGUCAGUCCCCAGGAGACCUUGGUGCCCUUGGCUCAUUCACCUGCAGCCAGACCACAGAAGCUCUCUCACCUCUGUCUCAGUACCACCACCUGUGGACUGUCGGAAGCCAGUCUGUCUUGUCUGCGUCUAGCCCUGGGGGUAGUCCACCACUGUGAGGACUUGGAGACAUUUUGUGCUGCGCCUGUGCCAGACUUGCACCUCAAUACGUGUGUGGCCCAAGCAGGCCUGCCUGAUUUCUGCAGAAUGAACCUAGUGACCACUGGACGACUCCUCAGUGUCCAGUGGGGGAGGUUGUGGACAGGGGCUGCACGUGAGGAGGUCAGAUGCACCAGGACACCCUCCCAGAGCCACUGUCCCCCGCCCCACCUGCCCACCCAUGGCCCCAGCUCACUCGCUGUGCUGUACUCUGCAAUCACCAGGUCUAGAGGCACUUAAUGGUAUUGUUUUAUUUGGGGUUUUUGCCUGUGAAAAUGAUCAUGAAGACAUCCAGUGAGAGGUGAGAUAAAUGCACUGGUAUUAAAUUAGAAAUAACCUGCAAAAAUCAGACCUCUUAAAAGAACAAGGAAUUGGUUAUCUGAUCUGUCCUGGACCAGGGAGGAGGCUGGUCUUUGGUGCCAGCCCCAGGAAGACAUCAAGAAUUCAGCCUGAGAGGAGGCCCUAGUCAGCCAUCCUGUUUGUGGAAAUAGCUUAGGAAAUGAGUUGUUUUGCCCCAGAAUGGCCAAAGUUCAAAGCUUGGACUCCAGAAGGCAGGCAGCCACCCUUCUGCAGUGGGUGUGUUGUUGCUUUGUGGGUGGAAAACUCCAGGACCCACCCCCUGACACGUCAUGGUGAGUCCCUUGCCAGGUGUGUCUUAGUUCCGGAAUCUUGCUGCUCAUCUGCUAGAAACGUGACGAUCCCCUGGAGACCAGGGUGCUGUGGAAAAGGGGCAGGUCUGCAAGUUUGUUGAACCCAGUCUCCCACAGAAUUGCGAAAAUCUAGUAAAUCAUGACGAAAAUGACAACAAUUCUGGUGAUAGUAACGAUUGCAUGAGGCCCAGGUCCCCAAGGAGCCAGCAUCUGCUGGGUCUAGACCACACCCUUUCACCUGACCCUGACUCAGACCCUCCUGCGUGUCCACUUUGUUGAUCUGGAAGUAGAAAAAGUCGUCUUGGCACCUUCAGGCACUCCCCCUGACUGGAGACCUAGGCCCCUGGCUGUGUUUCCCUGUUUCCUGUGGCCCGUGUUUUCCUGGUAAGCAGGGUGUUGUGUCUGGAGCAUCCCCUGUUCGUGUGUUCAGAGGGGAUGACCCUCUGCCUGCUGUGGCGGGAAAGAAGUGCUGUGGCUAGUGCUGGGGUGCCCUGCGGUGCUGCAGGGGCAUGGGAGUGGCUGAGGGGUGGUCAGAGGCUGGUGGCCUGUAGAUUGCCGUUUCUGCUUGGUGAUGUGGUCUCUUGUCUUCCUUGGGCGUUAUUCUGUUUUCAAACUGCUUCAGACGUUACCGCUCGUGCGUGAGCCUUCUGCUUCUCUGAUCAGUCGAGCAGCCAGCACCACGAGGAACCCAUUAGGGAACAUGGACAUGGCGCUCCUGCUCCAGGUGGGGCGGAGGACCUGUUCCAGGGGAGAUGGGCAGCCUCCCUGGCACCUGGUGUGAGACCUCCAGUGGGUGGGUGGGUGCCCAGGGCCUGGGGGCCCUGUCCGCCCUUCCCUGGCUCUCAGCAAGCCCCGCCAGGGACAUAGCUUGCUUGUGGGGUGUGGUGAGGGGGCGUGAAAAGUGACUGAUCUCAUUCCUUUCCCAGUGUUCUGAGCUGUGAACCCAUGUGACACAGGACUCCUGUUCUGCUCUUUUGGUUGUGACUCCUUCUCCUGUGGAAUUGGCAAAAGCUAUAUUUUUACUGUCCUUUCAAGCACGGUUGGCGUCGUCUCUGCUGUAGGUGUGGGCAGUGUGUGUACAUAUGUGUAUAUGUAUAUAUCACCCAGCAGCGUGACUGCUGCCGUCCAGAGCGAAGCAACAGUACAAUAAACGUUGGCUCCAAAACUGCCUCUAGUUUCUUGAUCAGUGGGCAGGAGCAGGGGUCUGGGCAAGCUGGCCUGCUGUGCACAGAAGGAAACCCCGACCCUGCUGUGUCCUGGGAUAGGUGUGGGUGGCAGGCCAGGUGUCAGCCUCUGGGGGUGGGGGGCAGGGCUGCCUCCCCAUCCGUGGGGAUUCACCUGACCCCCUGAGGUGAGUGUCUCAUGACACUCAGACGUGGCUAGAAACCCCUCCCUCCUUUGAAACAUUAAAACCCAUUUUCUAGGCAUCAGAUACAACCAGUGACAAAGCUGCGUUCGAAGGGGUGUCUGUCCUGACCCCAGAUCCACCCAGAGGGUCCCUGUGAGGUAGGAGAUAGAUAGGCUCCAGCUUGGACAUUUAUUCUCCUACCUCACCUGGGGGAAGGGGCUGGGCCUGGGUCCUGUGCGCAGCAACUUCUGGUCGGUUUUAUCUCCUUGGAGAUGGGAUGGUGUUUCAGGUGGGCAAGGGAAGCAGUUUACACUGAAACCUGUAUACAUUGUGGUUAGAAGCUAAAUGCAGGUGCAUGGACCAUGGUCGUCCGUGUGCUGGUUUGUCCUGCUGCUGGGGUCCGACCUCUGUCCUGAGCCCGUGCACACACCUGGGGCUGGGCUGGUGGGUCAUGGAAGUUUCCCAUGGUGAUGGUCUCUAUGUCUGAAUGUUGACCUAUAAUAAAGAUUACUUGUAAAAAAUAAAUGUUUUCACUGCA